UGCAAGUCGAACGAUGAACCACUUCGGUGGGGAUUAGUGGCGAACGGGUGAGUAACACGUGGGCAAUCUGCCCUUCACUCUGGGACAAGCCCUGGAAACGGGGUCUAAUACCGGAUACAACCACCGGCCGCAUGGUCUGGUGGUGGAAAGCUCCGGCGGUGAAGGAUGAGCCCGCGGCCUAUCAGCUUGUUGGUGAGGUAACGGCUCACCAAGGCGACGACGGGUAGCCGGCCUGAGAGGGCGACCGGCCACACUGGGACUGAGACACGGCCCAGACUCCUACGGGAGGCAGCAGUGGGGAAUAUUGCACAAUGGGCGAAAGCCUGAUGCAGCGACGCCGCGUGAGGGAUGACGGCCUUCGGGUUGUAAACCUCUUUCAGCAGGGAAGAAGCGAAAGUGACGGUACCUGCAGAAGAAGCGCCGGCUAACUACGUGCCAGCAGCCGCGGUAAUACGUAGGGCGCGAGCGUUGUCCGGAAUUAUUGGGCGUAAAGAGCUCGUAGGCGGUCUGUCGCGUCGGAUGUGAAAGCCCGGGGCUUAACCCCGGGUCUGCAUUCGAUACGGGCAGACUAGAGUGUGGUAGGGGAGAUCGGAAUUCCUGGUGUAGCGGUGAAAUGCGCAGAUAUCAGGAGGAACACCGGUGGCGAAGGCGGAUCUCUGGGCCAUUACUGACGCUGAGGAGCGAAAGCGUGGGGAGCGAACAGGAUUAGAUACCCUGGUAGUCCACGCCGUAAACGGUGGGAACUAGGUGUUGGCGACAUUCCACGUCGUCGGUGCCGCAGCUAACGCAUUAAGUUCCCCGCCUGGGGAGUACGGCCGCAAGGCUAAAACUCAAAGGAAUUGACGGGGCCCGCACAAGCAGCGGAGCAUGUGGCUUAAUUCGACGCAACGCGAAGAACCUUACCAAGGCUUGACAUACACCGGAAACGGCCA
rnacentral:rRNA from 1 species